rnacentral:rRNA from 1 species
UGGACUUUGACAGACUUGCCCGAUGAUCGGCGAGCGAUAGAAAACAAAUGGAUCUUUAAGAAGAAGACGGACGCGGAUGGUAAUGUUACCAUCUAUAAAGCUCGACUUGUCGCUAAGGGUUAUCGACAGGUUCAAGGGAUUGACUACGACGAGACAUUCUCUCCCGUAGCGAAGCUAAAGUCCGUCCGAAUCAUGUUAGCAAUUGCCGCAUACUAUGAUUAUGAGAUAUGGCAGAUGGACGUCAAAACAGCAUUCCUUAACGAGCAUCUUAAGGAAGAACUGUAUAUGAUGCAGCCGGAAGGUUUUGUCGAUCCUCAGAACGCUAACAAAGUAUGCAAGCUCCAGCGAUCCAUUUAU